GGAACCGGAACCGGAACCGGUCGUGGAACCGGUUUUGGAACCGGUUAGGGUUCCAAAAGGAACCCCACUCCCCCGAGACUCCCGACCCCCUCACUUUCCAUUUUUCAGAGUCUCGCCGGACGCCGCUCUGAGUCUCGCCGCCGGACGCCGCUCGCCCUCAAGGCCACCACCGCUAGACGCCAAUCAUCGACGUCGCUCGCGCGAACCCUCGCCGCUCGACGCCCGUCGCUGCCGUGCUCUACCUCGAUGCCCGUCGCCAACUACCCGAUGCAGGCAGAUCUAAGCCGAGCUCAUCUCCGCUCGCGACCCACCGCCUUUGCUCGCGCCAGAAGCCCCGACGAGCAGAAGCCCCGACGACGCCGAUUCUGCUGUCUCCACUCGCGACCCACCGCCUCUGGUCACUAGGUCUCCGAUUCUGACCCACAACGCCGCUGCUGCUGUCUCCGCCUCUGCUCCGACGACCCGACGCCAGCAGUCGCGACGCCUGAUGCCGUUGCCCCGAAGACCAGCGACCGACGUCCCUGCUCGCUGCUCAGUGCCGGACGCCGCUCGCCCGGUAAAAUUGGAUUUCUGGACCUUCUCUCCAAGGCUUGGCUUUGAAUUCGGAGACGAAUGAGCACGUGGCCAUAAAGAAGAUUGCUAAUGCUUUCUAUAACAAGAUCGAUGCGAAGAGGACCCUCCAUGAGAUCAAGCUCCUCCGGCACAUGGACCAUGAAAACGUUGUGGCAAUUAGAGAUAUUAUUCCACCGCCACAGAGAGAGGUUUUCAAUGAUGUUUAUAUUGCAUAUGAGCUUAUGGACACUGAUCUGCAUCAAAUUAGUCGUUCCAACCGAGUAUUGUCUGAGGAGCAUUGUCAGGUUUCAUUUUGCCAUUUAUUGUACGAUAUUGGCGCUUCCUUCUAGAUGGGAUAUUGCUUUCUUGUUAGUUGCUGGUUCUUAAUUAUGCUAGUCGGAGUUGCCAUCCGCUGCUUUCUUGUCA